CUCCCUGUAAGAGGAUGAAUGAAGCACAUCACUAGCUGCCCGUUGUCUGCUGCCCCCAACCCCGCCGCUGCCGCCGCCAUGUUUGGUCCCAGCCCUAUAUUGAGGCUGAUGGUGAGCACUUAGCUCUACAAUGAAUGGCCAGAUCUGAUCAGACCAGACAUCACCCAACCAUGGAUGACCUGGCCAGCUGCUGAGGUUCCUUCUGUGCAAAGUCCUACGGAAGGAAGCAGAAGGAAGCCCCAAGGAUGGAUCCCGGUCAUACAGAUGGUCUAGCGUGGGUCACCACAUUGUAACAGAUUUAAGGGUAUGGGAUAACUAGAGCUGAGAAAGAAAAAGGUUGACCGCUCUCUAAAAUGCUCAGUCAGGACUGAAGGCUAGUCUUAUUGCAAUACUGCCUACCGCCCGCAAAAGCACCACAGCUGGGUCUCAGCAUCACUUCUGCCUCUACAGAGUCCCUGCAGGCCCACUGGGACCUGUGGAAAAAUGGGCAGGGACUGACGCCAUCAUCCUUUUGUCUGCCCAACUUUCCCCCUUCACCUUCUAACACUGGCUUGGCCUUGGAGGCUUGGCUCCUAAAACCGAGUCCUGCCAGAAAUAGACUCAGAAGUUGGGCAAAGGCCUUGUCCCACGUCCCACGUCCCACGACACACUGUGUGCUGCAUGCAAAGCUCAUGUAAAUUAACAGACAAUGAGUACCAAAUGAUGGGCACCCCCUGGAAGCUUGUUCUCCACCCUUCUAUCCUAACUGGACCAGGAGAGCCAUGGGAACCCUCAAGAUUCCCCCUGCAGGGGGAGAGGCUGUUUUUCCACUGGGUCCAGCUGGCCUCAUAGCAGGGCUGGCUCCUAUCCUACAACUCCAGGUCUAAGGCUGCAGAGCAGGAUCCACAGGCUGCCCUUCCCACAGAUGCUGCCCUGACAUCUUUUAAGAGCCUCAGGGAGCAAGCACAAUGAUACGCCCCCGGGUUCCAGCCUGCUCUGUGCUCACCGCCUCUCCGAGAUGCGACAUCAAUCUCCGAAACAGAAAUGAUCUCCCAAGCAGGCCAAAGUAUUCUGGGAAUUCAAGAUGACACAUGCUGAGGGCCUGACCCCAGGCCUGGGCUUAGGCCCAGUCAACCACAGGAUUGUUUUCACACAAGGAAAAUCGGGGGAGUGAACUGAGUUGGCCUCUGUGCAGCAAGGCGGGAAGAGCUUCCUGUUUGGUGCAGGAGCACGGAAGCCCUCGGUGGACAGAUAAAUCACAGCCUGGACAUAGUCUUGCGACAGACAAGCCUGCCUGCCCCCAAGGCUCCUUCCUGCUCUCCUUGUCAGGAAGGCCCUCUCUCAGCAAGGCUCACUAAUGAUGGAACCCGAAUAGCCAGCCCUGUUCCUGCUGCUAGAGGCUGCAGAACAAGGAAGGUGGGGGGACUGCCAAGAUGCCGAGGCAAUGGGCACCCGGAUGCCGGAGCACAUGCCCCCGGGUGGGCACAGGCUACCUACAGGCUGAGCUGAGUAGUAAGCAUGCUUUUACGUGGAGCUCUUGGCUCUCCGAGGGUUCCCUCAAGAGGCUUCCCCUGUCUAAGAUUCUGCAGCUCCUCGGAACCAGGGCCAGCUUCCCCAUUAAGCUUCAGCAAGCAAAUGAGAAGAGGGAACAAAGGCAGCCCAGCAUCAAGCCUGCCCCGACCUGAAUGGGAGCAUGGGAGGCCGACUACCACGGGCGUUCAGGCUCCCCGCCUCCUGCCCAGCUUCGCACACAGGGUCCUGUUGAGCUGUUCACACGGGCACUGAAGGGAAAACCAGGAUAUGUAGAUUUCCCCCCAAGUAAGGGGAACCAGGAGGCCUCCUCCCAGCCCCACUGUUCUCCUUUGGGUCUCCCCUAGGACCCUUAAAAAGGUGAACUCUUCAAGCUUCAGAGGGGAAGGACCAAAACCUAAGCUACCAGAGUUAGCUUCUGACUUUGCCAGCAAACAUGCCCCAGACACCUACAUCUGCCACACCCAUGUAAGCAUCCCCUGCCGGCUGGAACCCUCCCCAGGGUGACCACAUGUCAACAAGAGGUACAAAAACCCUAUUUGCAGAUGAACAUGAACUCGGAGGACACUGUUCAACUCCAUACAACCUGAUUUAUAGAGGAGGAUGCCUGGGCCAAGGCCGCCUGGGGCUCCCCACCCUCCAGGGCUGGGCCUCCAUGAUGAAAGCGGGGCAUCGCCCACCAAGCCAACACUGUGUUUGAGCCUUGCCUGCAGCCUUGAUUGCAGCUGUGUAUAUAUAUAUAUAUAUAUGUAUGUAUGUAUAUAUAUAUAUAUAUAAAAUCUCCUCCACGGACUUCUCCAGGCCUCCCCGUGUCCAACUGACCACUGUCCCCAGGCCAUGGAAAGAAGUGACUCACCAGUCUGUAGCCUGGCUGCUAUGCCCACAGCAGGUCCUUUGCCUGCAUCCACGGGAGCCCUGUACACCCCCAGCACCCUGCCCCACCCCCACCAGAACUCUCUGUAGCUACCUCACAUCUUUCCCCCUUGUGCUGUCAAGGUCUGUGUGGUGGCCCUUCCUGAGAGGGGACAAUUCCUUUGCUGGUUCCCUUGGUGCCACUGGGUCCUCACGUGGGCGCUGCGCUCCUCCUCAGACAUCUCCCUGGGCUAUCCCAGGCUCUGCUGCCUUGACCAACUAACAUGGAGGGGAGUGUGUUUCUCUCUCCGGAUCAAGACUGCGCCAUAUAAGCAGGUGUCACCAGGAACUCAGUGCCCCCCAGUAAGUCAUAGACUCCCUCGAGGCAGGGACAGACACGCAGAUGAGUGCGAUCCACCAUGCCAUCAGCCGUGAGGUCGGUUGGACCAUCACUGUACCUCUGUCUGGAAGGAGGCUUGCUUAAACACACUCCCAGCUACAACUGGUCAGGGGCACGUUUCAAGGACACAGUGACUGUCAGGCUCAGAGCUGGUGUGGCACCAAAGGCUCCGAGUGGGUGGUGCCGGCUACCCAGGUUUUGAGGAUCCGGGAUCUGCAGGCCCUAGCAGGGCAGGACAGUGGGUGCUCUCUGCUCUCCAGGCUCCCCCAGCUCAGGUGGCCUGCUGCCAGUCUCCCAGCCCCUUUCUGCAAAUGUGCCCUGGAGUGCCACCGCACACAGCGCUGGAAAGCCAGCUGAAUGGCUCCCAGACACACAAAGGAGUCAGUGUGUGAGAAACCCCGGACUUGGGAACCACAAAGGGCUUUAUUUCCCUUUCUAAGCUCAAGACUUAAAAAAAUAAAAAAAAUCAAAGCGGCUGCCAGCCUUAGCCCUGGGCCCAGGGAUAGCACUGGCUCACCUUCCCUCAGCCGAAAACUCCCCUUUGAAUUCAAAGUUGGACUUAGGAGACACACCAGCCUGUAACCCACGACCCACAAGCUGAAACACAGCUUCGGUCUUCAGCCCUCCUCAUCGGGUAGCUCUCCCACAGAUCCCCAGAUAAGCCACAUCCUCUUUCCCACUGGACGUUAACCCCUGCUCCUGCCUCACAAUCCCACGGGUCCCCAGCUGCCAAGCAAAACUGAGCUGCCUGGCCCUUGGCCAAAGCCGUCUUCUUGGGAAGGUGGCCCCUAAGCCUCAAGGACAUGAAGGGGGUUAGCCUUCCCAUGGUCAGGCGGCCACAUCAGAAGAUGUUGUGAAACUCUAUCCCCUGGGUGGAGCCUUCAUUAUCAUCUUCAGCAGAGUGGCUGGGAGGACUUGCAAGAGACCCUUCGCUCACCUUCCCUCUCAGAAGAAGGUGGAGAGGGUCACUUGAGUGACCCUCUCUGCACACAUCUCUAGCUGUAAGUGAUUCUGCCCAAGCAGCACGUGAUCCUGUAGUCUGUGGCCGCGUAUACAAAGUAAGGAUGCUUAACUGAGAGGAAAACUCCUUUUAUGCAGCCAUGGAGAAACAGCCAUCCAUCUAUGCUGGGUUCAAUUCCUAACACCCACACUGUAACUGCAGUCCUGGGAGGAUCGAACGCCCUCUUCUGGCUUCUAGAGGCACUGCAGGGACAGGGUGAAUGGAUAUCUAUACAGGUAAAAACACUCAUACACAGAAAAUUAAAGCAAUGAUAAGACCAAGCACAAAAUGCCUCUGCUUGUAUUCAAGCUUCUGGCUCACGGGUACUUUUUGGUGACAUGUUCCCUUGGAGGUCACCCACAUACCCUUGCAGGCAGCGCCCCUCCCCCACACUCUCCAAGUAAGACCAAUAAACGCAUCGGUUCACCAGA